ensembl:lncRNA
GGGGAAGGCUCGGGAACUUAUGUUACUGAAAAAAAUUAAAUAAAAUAAAAUGGCAGAUUCCACCUGCACUGAGGUAAAUACUGAGGCAGAUUCCACCCGUAAUGAAGUCCGAGCUGUCGCCAACGCGCCACAACAGAGGUGGAAAGCACGCGCGCAGAGUAGCUUCUAGAAACUUUGGAAAGCUUCAAAACACGUCUGUAUGGCACUGCAUAAAGGCUUAACCAAAUGUGUACUCUUCUUGUUAUGGCCUCCACAUGUCCUACAUCUACCACCAGCAUUUCUCAGAGACAUCACACAGGAACGUAUGGGCAAAACAACCGAGGAGCAGCUCAGUGGGGAAAAGUGGAAAGUUCUGGACUGACCAAGUCAAUCUCCCAGCUUAAGAUUCAAAACAGACUGAAGUCCCUGAAGCCCAAACAGAAACAGAAACCUUGCUUGGCAAGUAACCCAAGAAAAACCUUGGUUAAACAUGAUUCGUGGACUGUGGAUUUGUGUGAAAGACGUAAAGAUCUGAAGACCAUAACUCUCAGGACCUUAGUUGUGCUAUAUCCUCUCUUUUACUAUGUCAGAUAG